UCCUCCUUUUUCAAGCGUUACUCGGAAUUACUGGGCGUAAAGCGUGCGUAGGUGGUGAGUUAAGUCUGUCGUGAAAGCCCCGGGCUCAACCUGGGAAUGGCGAUGGAUACUGGCUCGCUAGAGUGCGGUAGAGGAGAGUGGAAUUCCCGGUGUAGCAGUGAAAUGCGUAGAGAUCGGGAGGAACAUCAGUUGCGAAGGCGGCUCUCUGGACCAGCACUGACACUGAGGCACGAAAGCCAGGGGAGCAAACGGG
rnacentral:rRNA from 1 species